rnacentral:lncRNA from 1 species
CUGAGUCAGUGUUACUCUGAAGCAUGGGCUUCAGAGUUAUGUGUUUCAAAGAGCUGUGUCUAAUUAGUAUAGAAUAAAGGAGUAACAACGACAUGGUUCAAGAAGCAGCAAUGAUCCUAAUGGAGGAGAAUGUGAGUAUCCAAAACAGGUGUAGUCCAUAAAGCAGUCUGAGGGUAGACAGCUGAGAGGCUUCCUGCUCCUACCCAUCCAUCAAGGACGCAGAUCCUAAGAAUCCACUGACAAAAGCAAGCCAGAAGUCAGUUCUUGGAUGGACUAAAGCCCUAGGAAGAUUCUCAUAACAGGAACAAGGAAAAGUGGCUAACUCAGAAGACCAGGACUGAUGGGUGCUGAGAGGAGAGAAAGCAAGGAAGGAGGCGUCAGGAUGAGGAACUGAAGAGUAGAAAACACAACUCCAGGGCUGACAAGGAGCACAAUGGCCUACCCUGCCUGCUCUCCAGUACUCUGGUCUCUGCUGGAACCUGGAGCACUUCAUCCACCUUCACUGCCUCAUCCUGGCUUUCUCAGACGGAGCUACAAUCAAAAGUGACCUCCCUCUCCCAAAGGGGUAAAAGGCUUGCCUCCAAAUCACCAAACAACCUUAAUAAAGACCCUCAUCUGCCACUUAGCCACAUUCGUGUGAUGUCUUCAGUUGAAAUCAUAACUCUUCUGAACCCUGAGCAAAGAGAAAAAGCAAAGCAACACAACACACACUUACACACACACACAUCUGCGUAGUAAAGAAGACGGAAAGGAAGCACAAGCAAAAUACUCCAACACGGCCGUGUCGUGUGGAGCCUUCUUCUUCGGCUGAAAGGCAGCUUCUCCUGAGGGUUUAGGCUGUUCUCCUGAGCUAAGGGUGGAGUGAGGGAGAAGGAAGGCAGAUCUGCGUCUGUGGCUGAUUGGCAAGUUCUGUGAGAAGUUAUCCACUCCCAUAAGUUUUGUUACUGUGGCAAUUUCUUUCUCAGCGUUGAUGGUGCCCCUUACUUACAGGCGGGGGUGGUGUGGGGAAUGGGGUGUUGUUUCUAGUGGCUGCUGGGCAGCCGUCUGACUGAGCCUGGAAAGGUUCUGGGAAAAUGAAAUGCUGUUGUUUCUCUGUUUUUGAAGACACUCUUUUUUCGAUCAUGUUUAUACUUUGAAAUUUCACACUGUGGUCAAAGAAGGCAAGGUAAAAUUUUAUAUCCCCAUCAACACCGGAGAACUGUGCUUGUCCUGUGUUCACACAGACACGUGAUCUUUAUAGACGUCUAAGAUGAGUACCUGUGGGGGAGACAAAUCACAUUUUAAUAACCAAAUCAUGAUAUUCAAAUAUUUUAAAUGUAGCCGCUUUUCCCUUUUCCUAUAGAGUUUUCCUAUCUUCUUAACAGAGGUAACAUAUAAAUCCAAGUAAUGUCCUUCUCAACUAUAAUUUAGAGUUGCACUGAAAACGAAAGUUAUAGAUAAGAUAAAGUUAAAAUAUAAAUUUCAGAUCAAGCAUUCUACUGUGACAUAAAAAAGCAAGCUUUAAGUUCACUGAAACGGAAUAUUCCAGCAAUUACCAAAAGAUUCCACAGCUGUUAAACUAGAAAAACUGUUUUUCUUUCUUUGCGUGUAACUCAUCAUCUCUCACAAUCACCUCGUAACUAAUCAAAGCUUUUAUGAAAACGUUAGUGGCCAAAAAGCCACUUUGAUUGCCUUCGUUCCAUUGGCUAUUUAUAGGCCUGUUUAUUGCCACUAAUCACUUUUUUUUUUAAUUUUAAAAUUUGUUCUUUUGAAAUCAGCUUUAACAACAGCAAUAAAAUAUGUUCUAAAAUAUUAACA